CAAAUAGAAGCCUGGCAUUGGCGGAAUCAUGGUCGACGCGAUGACAAUGAUGGAUCAUACUUGGUUCCAAGUAAUUGAGAGUAGGUCUGGCCCAGAUCACACAUGCAGUGCCUGUGCCCAAAAAACUCAAGUACCCCAGGCCUCAAAAACGAGGAAGCAAGAGGGCAAUAUCAACUCCCACAGGAAAAACACCUAAACAUGAACAUAAAAGGAUUAAACUGGAUGAAAAAACCAGACACAACAAAUGGUCCAUCGAAGAGAAAUCCUUUCUGAAAGAAUACAGUCAAAAAUUACGAAAAGAUGGCGAGUCAGUUUCUGGAACAACUGUGCAAUUGCCAUGAACAACAUGUUUGGUGGAAAAAAACAGAACAGGUUCCAGCUCUCCAAGAGAAGUAGCAGGGCAUAUAUUGUCUUCUCCAUUGAGAGAAAGUAUCGUUGUAGAACUUUUAAAUGAAAUUGAAUAUUCAGCAAAAGAAUGCUACAACAAGGACAGUGUUUUAGCCCAAAAGGAUUUCUGUGACCUGGCUGAAUUUAAAUGGCAUGAACUCAUUGAUGAACUAUUAGAGCAACAGCCACUGCAAGCUGAUGUUCUCUUGGCUGUGUCUCUACCAACCUCUAAGAUAGGGAAUACAAAAUCUGUUCAGAGACUAAUACUGGUCAUAUCUUCUGUGUUUGGAAUGUUGAUGAAUACAGGAUACCAGGAGUUGUCGUUACAACUCGUUAGUUCAAAAGAUAAUCACAAUGACUUUAGCUAAUGAACAAACAUGCCAAAAAUUACAUUUUGUUUCAACUGUGUUUCUUUUUUUCUUCAAAUGUUAUGUUAAAGCCCAAAAGCACAAAAUAUGAACUUAACACCUUGUGUAUAGAAUGGAAUAUUAAAAAGUGUGCAAUUUA